rnacentral:rRNA from 1 species
GUUCCGAUUAUAGCUCCGAUUGAACGCUGGCGGGAUGUUACACAUGCAAGUCCGAACGGCAGCACGAACGGUCUGGUGGCGAGUGGCGAACGAAUUGAGUAAUGUAUCGGAACGUGCUAGUAGCGAGAGAUAUACGCGAAAGCGUAGCUAAUACCGCAUGCGCCACAUCGGGGGAAAAGCGGGGACCUUCGGGCCUCGCACUAACCGACAGCCGAUAUCAGUUAGCUAGUUGGUGGGGUAACGGCUCACCAAGGCGACGAUCCGUAGCUGAACGAAGGACGACCAGCCACACUGGGACUGAGACACGGCCCGAACUCCACGGAGGCAACAGUGGGGAAUUUUGGACAACUGGAAGCCUGAUCAGCCAUCCCGCGUGUGCGAUGAAGGCCUUCGGGUUGUAAAGCACUUUUUGGCAGGAAAAAGAGAGCAGCAGGAUAAUACCCCGUGCAAUGCCUGCAGAAUGGCUCGGCUAACUACGUGCCGGCAGCCGCGGUAAUACGUAGGGUGCAAGCGUUAAUCAAAUUACUGGGCGUAAAGCGUGCGCGAGCGGUUCGGAAAGAAAGUCAAAUCGAAACUUAACUUUGGAACACAUUUUUAACUACCGAACUAGAGUGUGUCAGAGAGGAGGUGGAAUUCCGCGUGUAGCAGUGAAAUGCGUAGAUAUGCGGAGAGGAACACCGAUGGCGAAGCAGCCUCCUGGGAUAACACUGACGCUCAUGCACGAAAGCGUUAGAGGCCGACAGGAUUCGAAUACCUGGUAGUCCACACCCUAAACGAUGUCCAACUAGCUGUGGAGGCCUUCGGGCGCUUGGUAGCGCAACUAACGCGUGAAGUUGACCGCCUGGGGAGUACGGUCGCAAGAUAAACUCAAAGAAUUGACGGGGACCCGCACAAGCGGUGGAUGAUGUGGAUUAAUUCGAUGCAACGCGAAAAACCUUACCUACGCCAGCAUGUCCCAGAAUCCCGAAGAUUUGGGAGUGCUCGCAAGAGAACCGGAACACACGGAACAUGGCUGUCGUCAGCUCGUGUCGUGAGAUGUUGGGUUAGUCCCGCAACGAGCACCAACCCUUGUCAUUAGUUGCUACGAAAGGGCACUCUAAUGAGACUGCCGCCGAUGACAAACCGGAGAAGGUCGAGGAUGACGUCAGUCCUCAUGGCCCUUAUGGGUAGGGCUUCACGUCAUACAAUGGUCGGGACGGAGGGUCGCCAACCCGCGAGGCCAAUCCCAGAAACUGAUCAUGGUCCGGAUCGCAGUCUGCAACUCGACUGCGUGAAGUCAGAAUCUUCAUGUCGGAUCAGCAUGUCGCGGUGAAUACGUUCCGGUCCUUUACACACCGCCCGUCACACCAUGGGAAUUAGGUUUGCAGAAAGUAGUUAGCUAACCGUAAGGAGGGCGAUUACCACAGUAGGAUUCAUGACUGGGGUGAAGUCGUAACAAAGUGG